rnacentral:sRNA from 1 species
CCCUAGCCCCGAGUGAAGUGAAAAUCCUUUUUAUCUGCCUUUUCGGCGGAUAAAAAGAUUGCAACGGAAAGCGGGAAAUAGC